AGUGAACGCUGGCGGUAGGCCUAACACAUGCAAGUCGAACGGCAGCACAGUAAGAGCUUGCUCUUACGGGUGGCGAGUGGCGGACGGGUGAAGAAUACAUCGGAAUCUACUUUUUCGUGGGGGAUAACGUAGGGAAACUUACGCUAAUACCGCAUACGACCUACGGGUGAAAGCAGGGGAUCUUCGGACCUUGCGCGAUUGAAUGAGCCGAUGUCGGAUUAGCUAGUUGGCGGGGUAAAGGCCCACCAAGGCGACGAUCCGUAGCUGGUCUGAGAGGAUGAUCAGCCACACUGGAACUGAGACACGGUCCAGACGCCUACGGGAGGCAGCAGUGGGGAAUAUUGGACAAUGGGCGCAAGCCUGAUCCAGCCAUACCGCGUGGGUGAAGAAGGCCUGCGGGUUGUAAAGCCCUUUUGUUGGGAAAGAAAAGCAGCAGGUUAAUACCCCGCUGUUCUGACGGUACCCAAAGAAUAAGCACCGGCUAACUUCGU
rnacentral:rRNA from 1 species